AAAACAGAAUUAAUAUACAACUUUCUAUUGUGUCCUUCGUCUUAGCUAUCCCUAUAAUUUAUAAGCCUCACAUAUCUCUAAACCUAUAUGAAGUCACAAUAUUUUUUGCCACGUGGCAUAUUACCUUUCAUUCUCAUAGCUUAACUUUAAAUCAAAUCACCUUCUCCUCUUCUCAACACCUAAUCCUUCACCUCCCCACUCCUCUAAUUACAUUCAAGGUGCAACAUUUAAUUACAUCUACUAUAUUAAUAUUCUAUCAAUUAGUGGGUUCUAGCUAUAAUUUUAUUUUUUUAACAGUUGAAUUUAGUCAUGUAAAUUAGCUGUACUUAACAUGGUAUAGUUUUCUAUAUAUUAAUAAGUUGUAAAUAUAAUUUUUUUUUUAAUUUUUAAAUUUGUUUCUAUUAUCUAUCCGCUGCAUCGCGUGUGUCACGCCCCGGAUUACUCGUUCCCCGGGCACGCCGACAAAUCCGCAGUAUACAAAGAAAUUUUUUCUGUAUACGAAACGAUAGUUGUAUCUGUAAUCAUACAAUACUACAAUUAAUAGUAUAGAGCUGCUAAAAGAAAUGAGAUAUAUAAAACUGAAGUUCACUAUACAUACAAACAUCCAGAUAUACAAACAGCUCGCCCAUCGAGGUACAACAAUAGUAUGUAUAUGAACUCAAAAACUACAACUAUCUGUAGCUGAUACUCCACUAGUUCUGGCUCGUCUGGUAGGGCUCUAACUCGCGACGCUCUUGCCACGAUCAAGAUCAGCAGCAGCAACAGCUGCAGACGACGGCUCUGCAAAACGAAAGGUAAUAACUGAGCAUGAGAACUACUACAAAAGAAGUAGUGCUCAGUGGGUACCGCCCUAAAAAAUCAUUGGUUCACCCACCAAGACUACAGAAGUAAACAGAAAUAGUAGGAAAAGCUGAAAAAAAUCUACAGCUAAAUAUCACUACACUAACACUAACCAUCUGUAGUAAAUGUCAAUCCUGACCCAAUCUCACUAGGGAUUGUAAACAUACCCGUCUCAGGGACUGUGAACACACCCGUCCCGCCUAUCGAAGCUAAACCUACCUCCACACUAAGUAGUCCGGGGAGAGCAAGUCCAACCAGGACACUACGACACCAACGCAAAAGCACAAAACCCGACUCCGGAGUGGCACUCAUUGGCGUUAGCCAACCGAGUAUGCAAGCAUGUCUCUGUCGAGCUCAAUCAGGCUCUCACAGACUAAAAUCAAGUAAACAGGGUAUAACAGGUCUAACAACCAAAACGCACGUGCCCUCGGCACAAUCUGAUACAAAAACAGUAAUCUGAGUCCACCGUCAACUUCAACGGCAGUCGACAAUCUGGAAUAGUCUGAACAAUACUAUAAAAAUAAGCUCGGCAUCCCAGCACGAGCGUAAAAUUAUUCUACACUAUCCUGGGUAUCCCUCGCCUACAAACUGCGGCGAUACAAACAAUUACGGCUCCUAGAGCUAAAUCUGGUAGUGUUAACAUAUGACAGUGUAGAAUCGCUAGUUUUCUCCUAAGUCAAAUCCACGUCCAACAUGUAUAAAUUGUCUAAAAUUAUUACUUUAUGCUCCAAACUUA
rnacentral:lncRNA from 1 species